AACGAUACGUAGCCGACCUGAGAGGGUGAUCGGCCACACUGGAACUGAGACACGGUCCAGACUCCUACGGGAGGCAGCAGUAGGGAAUCUUCCGCAAUGGGCGAAAGCCUGACGGAGCAACGCCGCGUGAGUGAUGAAGGUCUUCGGAUCGUAAAACUCUGUUAUUAGGGAAGAACAAACGUGUAAGUAACUGUGCACGUCUUGACGGUACCUAAUCAGAAAGCCACGGCUAACUACGUGCCAGCAGCCGCGGUAAUACGUAGGUGGCAAGCGUUAUCCGGAAUUAUUGGGCGUAAAGCGCGCGUAGGCGGUUUUUUAAGUCUGAUGUGAAAGCCCACGGCUCAACCGUGGAGGGUCAUUGGAAACUGGAAAACUUGAGUGCAGAAGAGGAAAGUGGAAUUCCAUGUGUAGCGGUGAAAUGCGCAGAGAUAUGGAGGAACACCAGUGGCGAAGGCGACUUUCUGGUCUGUAACUGACGCUGAUGUGCGAAAGCGUGGGGAUCAAACAGGAUUAGAUACCCUGGUAGUCCACGCCGUAAACGAUGAGUGCUAAGUGUUAGGGGGUUUCCGCCCCUUAGUGCUGCAGCUAACGCAUUAAGCACUCCGCCUGGGGAGUACGACCGCAAGGUUGAAACUCAAAGGAAUUGACGGGGACCCGCACAAGCGGUGGAGCA
rnacentral:rRNA from 1 species